rnacentral:tRNA from 2 species
UGCGGGGUGGUGUAGAGGUAACAUGCCGGUUUCGUUGUCCGGUGCCGCUGGUUCGAUUCCAGCCCCCGCAUCCA